GCGAGCUGGUGGGCAGGUUCGGGGGUAGCCCCUGAGGAAACUCCUCCCUCCGUGCAGCACCGCGGCGCCGCGAGGCGCAUCGGGAGACCGAUGGCAACAACACAGAAACGUCAUCUGGGCCGGGGUUAACGGUGAUGAGGCGACUCUGAGGUUCCCGGCUUCGGAGUGAAACGGUUGACCCGCGGGGAGCAAGGCCAAACAGGGUUGAUGAGGGCUGCACGAAACCCGGGUAGGCCGCUUAGCGGAAUCCUGCCUAGAACAGAAGGAGGGUUACGGCCAGCACGC
rnacentral:RNase_P_RNA from 1 species